GAUGAACGCUGGCGGCGUGCCUAAUACAUGCAAGUCGAGCGAACAGAUAAGGAGCUUGCUCCUUUGACGUUAGCGGCGGACGUGUGAGUAACACGUGGGUAACCUCCCUAUAAGUCUGGUAUAACUUCGGGAAACCGGAGCUAAUCCCGUAUAACCUUUGGCACCGUAUGUUUCUAAAGUAAAAGUCGGUUUUUCUAUCACUUAUAGAUGGACCGCGGCGGUUUUAGCUGGUUGGUAAGGUCACGGGCUACCAAGGCGACGAUACGUAGACGACCUGCGAGGGGGAUAGGCCACACGGGAAGGGGAACACGGUCAAGAGGACUAAGGGAGGCAGCAGUAGGGAAUGGGACGCAAUGGGAGGAAGCAUGACGGAGCAAGGCCGCGUGAGUGAUGAAGGGUUUGGGCGCGUAAAAAUCGGUUAUGAGGGAAGAACAGAUGUGUAAGUAAAUGUGCACGGAUUGACGGUAACGAAUAAGAAAGCAACGGCUAACUACGUG
rnacentral:rRNA from 1 species